AACAAAAGCAACCAUAUAACAUUGUUGCUAAAUAUUAAAGUGAGACGUUCUUUGCUACACAAGUUCGCGCAUAUCACUAUAAAUAUGCUUGGGCUAGAUUUGAAUCACAUUUUCCAAGAAUAAUCACAUUAGUUAUUAUAUUUUUUUAACUUUGCCCUUUAAUAAACUUACAUAUCAAGAUCCUCCUUGUUCUAAGAAAUCUCUAAAAUGUGAAUAAUCAUAUGCCU
rnacentral:lncRNA from 1 species